UACGAAGGGGGCUAGCGUUGCUCGGAAUCACUGGGCGUAAAGCGCACGUAGGCGGAUUUUUAAGUCAGGGGUGAAAUCCUGGAGCUCAACUCCAGAACUGCCUUUGAUACUGGGAAUCUCGAGUCCGGGAGAGGUGAGUGGAACUGCGAGUGUAGAGGUGAAAUUCGUAGAUAUUCGCAAGAACACCAGUGGCGAAGGCGGCUCACUGGCACGGUACUGACGCUGAGGUGCGAAAGCGUGGGGAGCAAACAGG
rnacentral:rRNA from 1 species